CAAUCUAUUAUUUUAGCUGGGGAUACG
rnacentral:piRNA from 2 species